rnacentral:tRNA from 2 species
GGCGAAGCGAGCUCGGUUGGUUCGAGCAACAGAUUGUGAAUCUGGAGGACGUGGGUUCAAGUCCCAUUCUUCGCCU